rnacentral:rRNA from 1 species
AUUUGCGUCGAAGGUAUACCGGUAAGGAGUGCUGGAGCGAAUAGAAGUGAGCAUGCAGGCAUGAGUAGCGAUAAUUAAUGUGAGAAUCAUUAACGCCGUAAACCCAAGGUUUCCUACGCGAUGCUCGUCAUCGUAGGGUUAGUCGGGUCCUAAGUCGAGUCCGAAAGGGGUAGACGAUGGCAAAUUGGUUAAUAUUCCAAUACCAACAUUAGUGUGCGAUGGAAGGACGCUUAGGGCUAAGGGGGCUAGCGGAUGGAAGUGCUAGUCUAAGGUCGUAGGAGGUUAUACAGGCAAAUCCGUAUAACAAUACUCCGAGAACUGAAAGGCUUUUUGAAGUCUUCGGAUGGAUAGAAGAACCCCUGAUGCCGUCGAGCCAAGAAAAGUUUCUAAGUUUAGCUAAUGUUGCCCGUACCGUAAACCGACACAGGUGGGUGGGAUGAGUAUUCUAAGGCGCGUGGAAGAACUCUCUUUAAGGAACUCUGCAAAAUAGCACCGUAUCUUCGGUAUAAGGUGUGGUUCGCUUCGUAUUAGGAUUUACUCCGAAAGCGAAGAAACUUACAACAAAGAGUCCCUCCCGACUGUUUACCAAAAACACAGCACUCUGCUAACUCGUAAGAGGAUGUAUAGGGUGUGACGCCUGCCCGGUGCUCGAAGGUUAAUUGAUGGGGUUAGCAUUAGCGAAGCUCUUGAUCGAAGCCCGAGUAAACGGCGGCCGUAACUAUAACGGUCCUAAGGUAGCGAAAUUCCUUGUCGGUUAAAUACCGACCUGCAUGAAUGGCGUAACGAGAUGGGAGCUGUCUCAAAGAGGGAUCCAGUGAAAUUGUAGUGGAGGUGAAAAUUCCUCCUACCCGCGGCAAGACGGAAAGACCCCGUGGACCUUUACUACAGCUUGACACUGCUAUUUGGAUAAGAAUGUGCAGGAUAGGUGGGAGGCUUUGAGUAUAUGACGCCAGUUGUAUAUGAGCCAUUGUUGAGAUACCACUCUUUCUUAUUUGGGUAGCUAACCAGCUUGAGUUAUCCUCAAGUGGGACAAUGUCUGGUGGGUAGUUUGACUGGGGCGGUCGCCUCCCAAAUAAUAACGGAGGCUUACAAAGGUUGGCUCAGAACGGUUGGAAAUCGUUCGUAGAGUAUAAAGGUAUAAGCCAGCUUAACUGCAAGACAUACAAGUCAAGCAGAGACGAAAGUCGGUCUUAGUGAUCCGGUGGUUCUGUGUGGAAGGGCCAUCGCUCAAAGGAUAAAAGGUACCCCGGGGAUAACAGGCUGAUCUCCCCCAAGAGCUCACAUCGACGGGGAGGUUUGGCACCUCGAUGUCGGCUCAUCGCAUCCUGGGGCUGGAGCAGGUCCCAAGGGUAUGGCUGUUCGCCAUUUAAAGCGGUACGCGAGCUGGGUUCAGAACGUCGUGAGACAGUUCGGUCCCUAUCUGCCGUGGGCGUAAGAAGAUUGAAGAGAUUUGACCCUAGUACGAGAGGACCGGGUUGAACAAACCACUGGUGUAGCUGUUGUUCUGCCAAGAGCAUCGCAGCGUAGCUAAGUUUGGAAAGGAUAAACGCUGAAAGCAUCUAAGCGUGAAGCCAACUCUAAGAUGAAUCUUCUCUAAGCUCUCUAGAAGACUACUAGUUUGAUAGGCUGGGUGUGUAAUGGAUGAAAGUCCUUUAGCUGACCAGUACUAAUAGAGCGUUUGGCUUAUCUUU